rnacentral:rRNA from 1 species
CCUACGGGAGGCAGCAGUGAGGAAUAUUGGUCAAUGGACGAGAGUCUGAACCAGCCAAGUAGCGUGAAGGAUGAAUGCCCUAUGGGUUGUAAACUUCUUUUAUAUGGGAAUAAAACGUUCCACGUGUGGGAUUUUGUAUGUACCAUAUGAAUAAGGAUCGGCUAACUUCGUGCCAGCAGCCGCGGUAUUACGGAGGAUCCGAGCGUUAUCCGGAUUUAUUGGGGUUAAAGGGCGCGUAGGUGGAUUGUUAAGUCAGUUGGGAAAGUUUGGGGCUAAACCGUAAAAUUGAAGUGGAAACGGGCAGUCAUGAGUGCAGUAGAGGUGGGCGGAAUUCAUGUUG